UACGUAGGGGGCAAGCGUUGUCCGGAUUUAUUGGGCGUUAAAGAGCGUGUAGGCGGCCAUACAGGUCAGCUGUGAAAACUCGAGGCUCAACCUCGAGACGUCGGUUGAAACCGUUUGGCUAGAGUCCGGAAGAGGAGAGUGGAAUUCCCGGUGAUAGCGGUGAAAUGACGCAGAUAUCGGGAAGAACACCCGUGGCCGAAGGCGGCUACACUGGCCCCGAUACUGACGCUGAGGCACGAAAGCGUGGGGAGCAAACAGG
rnacentral:rRNA from 1 species